UCUCUGUUAGUAUAUCGGUUAGUACACGCGCCUGUCAUUAUGAUUCAAAACGCGCGAAAGCUGGGUUCGACUCCCAGACAGAGAG